GACGAUUCACCUUUUAUGAAGAAGUACAAGUAUCAAACUUGCGCGAGGUAACUUUCCGUUGCAUCGAUCGUCGUCGAAGAAACAUUAUUUCGCCAUCAUCGUUGAUACAACGUCAUUUUGAUGAGCAUGUAAUGGUUUGCCUGGCAUAACGAGCCAUCCUGAAGGAACCUCAGUCCUAACGUCGAACAUCGUGUCGUUACCCACAUAUGCCCAUACAUACACCUACCAGCGAAUGUGGCUCGCACAUGUAAUCACGCUCUGUGAACUGGAUAUGGUUAGACCUCUUAAUAACGUGCUACCUACGUAGAAGCGUACGUGUUAGAACGAUGUAUCUACCUCUUUCGCACUGGUACACGGUACAACACGGUGAAUGCUGGAUCUUGAUACGAUAUUGAUCGGCUGUGUGUAUCAUGGGAAUCUCUUCACGACACCUAGCAACGCGCUGGACUUUUAACAUGGUCGAUUAUUGCGCUACAUUGAGUGUUCCAGCACCUAUAUGAUAGGCACUCUACGCUGUUGAUUUAUCUGUUUUAAUGUCUCCGAAGAUGGAUUAGUUGAAUGUAAGAGCAUCUUCAUAAAUGGACAUAUGUGGACGUGUAGGUAUCUAUGCGUAUGAUAGA
rnacentral:misc_RNA from 1 species